rnacentral:rRNA from 1 species
AAACUAACAAGGAUUCCCCUAGUAACGGCGAGUGAAGCGGGAAGAGCUCAAAUUUGAAAUCUGGUGGCCUCAGGUCAUCCGAGUUGUAAUCUAUAGAAGUGUUUUCCGUGCUGGCUCAUGUACAAGUCCCUUGGAACAGGGCGUCAUAGAGGGUGAGAAUCCCGUCCUUGACAUGAACUACCAGUGCUCUGUGAUACAUUUUCAACGAGUCGAGUUGUUUGGGAAUGCAGCUCAAAAUGGGUGGUAAAUUCCAUCUAAAGCUAAAUAUUGGCGAGAGACCGAUAGCGAACAAGUACCGUGAGGGAAAGAUGAAAAGCACUUUGGAAAGAGAGUUAAACAGUAUGUGAAAUUGUUGAAAGGGAAACGAUUGAAGUCAGUCGUGCUCUUUGGAUUCAGCCGGUUCUGCCGGUGUACUUCCUUUGAGUGGGGUCAACAUCAGUUUUGAUCGCUGGAUAAAGGCUGGAGGAACGUAGUACCCUCGGGUAAACUUAUAGCCUCCUGUCACAUACAGUGGUUGGGACUGAGGAACGCAGCACGCCUUUAUGGCCGGGAUUCGUCCACGUACGUGCUUAGGAUGUUGACA